UACGGAGGGUGCAAGCGUUAUCCGGAUUCACUGGGUUUAAAGGGCGCGUAGGUGGGUCUGUAAGUCAGUGGUGAAAUCUCCGGGCUUAACCUGGAAACUGCCAUUGAUACUAUAGGUCUUGAAUAUUGUGGAGGUUAGCGGAAUAUGUCAUGUAGCGGUGAAAUGCUUAGAUAUGACAUAGAACACCAAUUGCGAAGGCAGCUGGCUACGCAUAUAUUGACACUGAGGCUCGAAAGCGUGGGGAGCAAACAGG
rnacentral:rRNA from 1 species